rnacentral:rRNA from 1 species
AGGAUGAGCGCUGGCGGCGUGCCUAACACAUGCAAGUCGAACGCUCUCCAUUCGGUAGCAAUACUGAUGAAGAGUGAGUGGCGAACGGGUGAGUAACACAUGAGCAAACCUGCCCCGAAGACCGGGACAACACCGGGAAGCCGGUGCUAAUACCGGAUAUCCCUAUCGGACCGCAUGAUCUGAUAAGGAAAUGGAUUCCGCUUCGGGAGGGGCUCGUGGCCUAUCAGCUAGUUGGUGAGGUAAUAGCUCACCAAGGCAUCGACGGGUAGCUGGUCUGAGAGGACGAUCAGCCACACUGGGACUGAGACACGGCCCAGACUCCUACGGGAGGCAGCAGUGGGGAAUCUUGCGCAAUGGCGAAAGCCUGACGCGGCAACGCCGCGUGGAGGACGAAUGCUUUCUGAGUUGUAAACUCCUUUCAGCAGGGACGAUUGUGACGGUACCUGCAGAAGAAGCACCGGCCAACUACGUG